rnacentral:rRNA from 1 species
AGAGUUUGAUCAUGGCUCAGAACGAACGCUGGCGGCAUGCCUAACACAUGCAAGUCGAACGAGGGCUUCGGCCCUAGUGGCGCACGGGUGAGUAACGCGUGGGAACCUGCCCUGUGGUACGGAAUAACUCCGGGAAACUGGAGCUAAUACCGUAUGUGCCCUGCGGGACAAAGAUUUAUCGCCAUGGGAUGGGCCCGCGUAGGAUUAGCUUGUUGGUGAGGUAACGGCCCACCAAGGCUACGAUCCUUAGCUGGUCUGAGAGGAUGAUCAGCCACACUGGGACUGAGACACGGCCCAGACUCCUACGGGAGGCAGCAGUGGGGAAUAUUGGACAAUGGGCGCAAGCCUGAUCCAGCAAUGCCGCGUGAGUGAUGAAGGCCUUCGGGUUGUAAAGCUCUUUCGCACGCGACGAUGAUGACGGUAGCGUGAGAAGAAGCCCCGGCUAACUUCGUGCCAGCAGCCGCGGUAAUACGAAGGGGGCUAGCGUUGUUCGGAAUUACUGGGCGUAAAGGGCGCGUAGGCGGUACUUCAAGUCAGGCGUGAAAGCCCCGGGCUCAACCUGGGAACCGCGCUUGAGACUGGAGAACUAGAGUUCGGGAGAGGAUGGUGGAAUUCUCAGUGUAGAGGUGAAAUUCGUAGAUAUUGGGAAGAACACCGAUGGCGAAGGCAGCCAUCUGGACCGACACUGACGCUGAGGCGCGAAAGCGUGGGGAGCAAACAGGAUUAGAUACCCUAGUAGUCC